rnacentral:rRNA from 1 species
GACGAACGCUGGCGGCGUGCCUAAUACAUGCAAGUCGAGCGAACAGAUAAGGAGCUUGCUCCUUCGACGUUAGCGGCGGACGGGUGAGUAACACGUGGGUAACCUACCUACAAGACUGGGAUAAUUUCGGGAAACAGGAGCUAAUACCGGAUAAUAUUUCGAACCGCAUGGUUCGAUAGUGAAAGAUGGUUUUGCUAUCACUUAUAGAUGGACCCGCGCCGUAUUAGCUAGUUGGUAAGGUAACGGCUUACCAAGGCGACGAUGCGUAGCCGACCUGAGCGGGUGGUCGGCCACACUGGAACUGAGACACAGUCCAGACUCCUACGGGGAGCAGCGGUAGAGAAUCUUCCGCGAUGGGCGAGUGCCUGACGGAGCAACGCCGCGUGAAUGAUGAAGGUCUUCGGAUCGUAAAACUCUGUUAUUAGUGGAGAACAUACGUGUAAGUAGCUGUGCACAUCUUGACGGUACCUAAUCAGGAAGCCACGGCUAACUACGUG